UAAGCAAAUUUUCUAUGUGGUAGACAAUGUUGAUCCUAUAUGGCGUGCAGUUGCCCAAGGCAAGAGAAAUAUUCUGGGUAUUGAUGAUGUUGUGGAUGAAGAUGAGUAUGACAAGUACGAUGAAACACCCCUGUUACCAACGGCUGUUCAACCGUUACCGGAGGAGGAAGAUGCAAAUAAUACUAAUCAUAUGCGCACAGAUCAUAGGGAAGGAAUUUGGGUUGUAAACCGUAAAUGAAUAAGAUGAGUUGGCUUCUGGGAAUAGAUGACUUGAGAUCCCCGAGUCAGAAAUUUUCAGAAGCUUUCGGUGAUUUGUGUCUUUUCAGAAGUUCUCAGAAUCGGAAAAUAAAGCACGUAUUUACUUUUGGAACAACAUAGGUACGAUGAAUGAAAACCAAAUUGUUGUUAGGCAUGAAUCAGAAGGUGGCAAGACUCCCACAACGCGUGACGAAUCACAAGAUGUUAGUACGAUUACAAAGACCAUUAAAGGCCGUGGUCCGUCAAAAGGUGUUAAAGUCGCUAAGCCUAUGUUCCUUGAGUAUAAUGUAUAUAAUGUCCCCGAUGGACAAUGGUCUCAUGAAUACGGGAAGCAAGUUGGGAGUUGUGCUACUAGAAUUAAUAUUAACGUCCCAUUAUAUCCAAAGGUAGAUGAGCAAAUCAAGAAGGGGUUUUGGGAGGAGACUAAGCUUAUGUUCCACAUUACUGAUGAUUCUAAUCAUUCGAGGGAGAAAUAUUUUCAUUCUUGUGUGGCGAAACGAUUUAGUUGUUUCAAGAGCAAGUUGGUGCGCCGAUGGAUAACUAUGAAGGAAAAGAAGCCAAAAAAUCAAACA